UACAGAGGGUGCGAGCGUUAAUCGGAAUUACUGGGCGUAAAGCGCACGUAGGUGGCGACGUAAGUCGGGUGUGAAAGCCCCGGGCUCAACCUGGGAAUUGCAUUCGAGACUGCAUUGCUGGAGUACGGAAGAGGAAGGCGGAAUUCCCGGUGUAGCGGUGAAAUGCGUAGAUAUCAGGAGGAACACCGGUGGCGAAGGCGGCCUUCUGGACGAUGACUGACGCUGAGACACGAAAGCGUGGGGAGCAAACAGG
rnacentral:rRNA from 1 species